UUCCGUAGGUGAACCUGCGGAAGGAUCAUUAAUGAAACUUCAAAGUCGGCCGAGUUGUUGCUGGUGUUUAACCACACAUGUGCACACUCGGUCGCAAAUCCACACACACCUGUGCAUCUAUGACUCGAGGUUGUAAUGACUGAGAGUAACUUUUAUACACUCUGAAUGUAACGGAAUGUCUUUUGUGCUAUAAUGUACAAUAAAAACAACUUUCAACAACGGAUCUCUUGGCUCUCGCAUCGAUGAAGAACGCAGCGAAAUGCGAUAAGUAAUGUGAAUUGCAGAAUUCAGUGAAUCAUCGAAUCUUUGAACGCACCUUGCACCCUUUGGUAUUCCGAAGGGUACACCCGUUUGAGUGUCAUUGUAAUCUCACUUCUAAAACUUGUUUUUGGAAUGUGGACUUGGAUGUUGCCGUGUUAUUACGGCUCAUCUUAAAUGCUUGAGUGUACCCUGUUUUACAGUGUAUCCAGUGUAAUAAACAUUUCACUAGAGUUGGUCGCAAGACCGCAUUGUUGAUUCGGGCUCUAUGCUUUCCAAUCGUCCUUUUUGGACAAUCUCUUGACAAUUUGACCUCAAAUCGGGUGGGACUACCCGCUGAACUUAAGCAUAUCAAU
rnacentral:rRNA from 1 species